GGUGGGUAUAGCUCAGUGGUAGAGUGCAUGCUUAGCAUGCAUGAGGUCCUGGGUUCAAUCCCCAGUUUCUCCA
rnacentral:tRNA from 1 species